CCUACGGGAGGCAGCAGUGGGGAAUAUUGCACAAUGGGGGGAACCCUGAUGCAGCGACGCCGCGUGGGUGAAGGAGUAUUUCGGUAUGUAAAGCCCUAUCAGCAGGGAAGAACAAUGACGGUACCUGACUAAGAAGCACCGGCUAAAUACGUGCCAGCAGCCGCGGUAAUACGUAUGGUGCAAGCGUUAUCCGGAUUUACUGGGUGUAAAGGGAGCGCAGGCGGCGCGUUAAGCCUGGUGUGAAAGUCCGCGGCCCAACCGCGGGACUGCAUUGGGAACUGGCGCGCUGGAGUGCCGGAGGGGUAGGCGGAAUGCCUAGUGUAGCGGUGAAAUGCGUAGAUAUUAGGAGGAACACCAGUGGCGAAGGCGGCCUACUGGACGGUGACUGACGCUGAGGCUCGAAAGCGUGGGGAGCAAACAGGAUUAGAUACCCCAGUAGUC
rnacentral:rRNA from 1 species